CCCUUAGAUGUUCUGGGCUGCACGCGCGCUACACUGAUGCGCUCAACGAGUUUUAACCUUGCCUGGAAAGGUUGGGUAAUCUUUUUAAAACGCAUCGUGAUGGGGAUAGAUUAUUGCAAUUAUUAAUCUUCAACGAGGAAUUCCUAGUAAGCGCGAGUCAUCAGCUCGUGCUGAUUACGUCCCUGCCCUUUGUACACACCGCCCGGCGCUCCUACCGAUUGAGUGAUCCGGUGAAUAAUUCGGACUGCGGCAUUGACCGGUUCCCGAUCGUUGCUGCGGAAAGUUUAGUGAACCUUAUCACUUAGAGGAAGGAGAAGUCGUAACA
rnacentral:rRNA from 1 species